GAGUGCUGGGUUCUGUAGGCCA
rnacentral:miRNA from 1 species